rnacentral:rRNA from 1 species
GACGUAGGGUGCGAGCGUUGUCCGGAUUUAUUGGGCGUCAAGAGCUCGUCGGCGGCUCGUCGCGUCGACCGUGAAAACCCGCGGCUUAACUGCGGGCUUGCGGUUGAUACGGGCGGGCUAGAGUUCGGUAGGGGAGACUGGAAUUCCUGGUGUAGCGGUGAAAUGCGCAGAUAUCAGGAGGAACACCGGUGGCGAAGGCGGGUCUCUGGGCCGAUACUGACGCUGAGGAGCGAAAGCGUGGGGAGCGAACAGG